rnacentral:rRNA from 1 species
CCUGAGUACGACGGAGCACGUGAAAUUCCGUCGGAAUCUGGGAGGACCAUCUCCUAAGGCUAAAUACUCUCUAGUGACCGAUAGUGAACCAGUACCGUGAGGGAAAGGUGAAAAGUACCCCGGAAGGGGAGUGAAAGAGAACUUGAAACCGUGUGCUUACAAGUAGUCAGAGCCCGUUAAUGGGUGAUGGCGUGCCUUUUGUAGAAUGAACCGGCGAGUUACGAUCUGAUGCAAGGUUAAGCAGAAAAUGUGGAGCCGUAGCGAAAGCGAGUCUGAAUAGGGCGAAUGAGUAUUUGGUCGUAGACCCGAAACCAGGUGAUCUACCCUUGGUCAGGUUGAAGUUCAGGUAACACUGAAUGGAGGACCGAACCGACUUACGUUGAAAAGUGAGCGGAUGAACUGAGGGUAGCGGAGAAAUUCCAAUCGAACUUGGAGAUAGCUGGUUCUCUCCGAAAUAGCUUUAGGGCUAGCCUCAAGUGAUGAUUAUUGGAGGUAGAGCACUGUUUGGACGAGGGGCCCCUCUCGGGUUACCGAAUUCAGACAAACUCCGAAUGCCAAAUAAUUUAACUUGGGAGUCAGAAUGUGGGUGAUAAGGUCCAUAUUCGAAAGGGAAACAGCCCAGACCACCAGCUAAGGUCCCAAAAUAUAUGUUAAGUGGAAAAGGAUGUGGCGUUGCCCAGAC